rnacentral:tRNA from 1 species
CUAGACUAGCGGGCCUUGAUCCCACAAAAUUUUAGUUAACAACUAAACACCCAAUCCAGCGGGCUUUAGUCUA